GACGAACGCUGGCGGCGUGCUUAACACAUGCAAGUCGAACGGAAAGGCCCUGCUUUUGUGGGGUGCUCGAGUGGCGAACGGGUGAGUAACACGUGAGUAACCUGCCCUUGACUUUGGGAUAACUUCAGGAAACUGGGGCUAAUACCGGAUAGGAGCUCCUGCUGCAUGGUGGGGGUUGGAAAGUUUCGGCGGUUGGGGAUGGACUCGCGGCUUAUCAGCUUGUUGGUGGGGUAGUGGCUUACCAAGGCUUUGACGGGUAGCCGGCCUGAGAGGGUGACCGGCCACAUGGGGACUGCGAUACGGCCCAGACUCCUACGGGAGGCAGCAGUGGGGAAUAUUGCACAAUGGGCGGAAGCCUGAGGCAGCAACGCCGCGUGCGGGAUGACGGCCUUCGGGUUGUAAACCGCUUUCGCCUGUGACGAAGCGUGAGUGACGGUAAUGGGUAAAGAAGCACCGGCUAACUACGUG
rnacentral:rRNA from 1 species